rnacentral:rRNA from 1 species
UACGAAGGGGGCUAGCGUUGCUCGGAAUCACUGGGCGUAAAGCGCACGUAGGCGGAUUGCUAAGUCAGGGGUGAAAUCCCAAGGCUCAACCUUGGAACUGCCUUUGAUACUGGGGAUCUCGAGUCCGGAAGAGGUUGGUGGAACUGCGAGUGUAGAGGUGAAAUUCGUAGAUAUUCGCAAGAACACCAGUGGCGAAGGCGGCCAACUGGUCCGGUACUGACGCUGAGGCACGAAAGCGUGGGGAGCAAACAGG